ACUCAAAUGAAUUGACGGGGGCCCGCACAAGCAGCGGAGCGUGUGGUUUAAUUCGACGCAACGCGAAGAACCUUACCUGGGCUUGACAUGCGUGUGGUACGACCGGGAAACCGGAAGGACCCGCAAGGGAGCACGCACAGAUGCUGCAUGGCUGUCGUCAGCUCGUGCCGUGAGGUGUUGGGUUAAGUCCCGCAACGAGCGCAACCCUCGCUGCCAGUUACCAUGUCUGGCGGGACCGCCGGGUCCAACCCGGAGGAAGGUGGGGAUGACGUCAAGUCAGCACGGCUCUUACGUCCAGGGCUACACACACGCUACAAUGGCCGGUACAACGCGCAGCGAUGGGGCGACCCGGAGCGAAUCGCAUCAAAGCCGGUCUCAGUUGGGAUUGCAGGCUGCAACUCGCCUGCAUGAACGCGGAGUUGCUAGUAACCGCAGGUCAGCACACUGCGGUGAAUACGUUCCCGGGCCUUGCACACACCGCCCGU
rnacentral:rRNA from 1 species